CUACUGUUAACUAUACAUAGACAAUAUAAUCUCCUAGUAUAGCCCUAUUCACAGAUUAGGUAAAUAGAAAACAGUACCACUUCUAUAGACAUGUUCUUUAUAUUUGUUCAACUGCAGAUUUCAAAACUUUUCCAAAAGUAACACCAGAAAUCGAUAGCAAAUAAAUAUUCCUUAUUGUUGAAUAAGCCAAAUCUCUUAAGUCAAUUAGGAACUUAAAAAAUUCAUUUUUCAGAAAGUAGGCAACAAUUAUCAAAGGCAGGCACAUUUCUCAUCAAGGAAGGAAAAGGAGAAAAAAAAGGAAAAGGUAAAGCUCAUUAGUCAUGACUGUGGGGCCAAUGAUAA
rnacentral:misc_RNA from 1 species